rnacentral:rRNA from 1 species
UCCUCCCUCUGGCGGCGUGCUUAACACAUGCAAGUCGAACGGAAAGGCCCUGCUUUUGUGGGGUGCUCGAGUGGCGAACGGGUGAGUAACACGUGAGUAACCUGCCCUUGACUUUGGGAUAACUUCAGGAAACUGGGGCUAAUACCGGAUAGGAGCUCCUGCUGCAUGGUGGGGGUUGGAAAGUUUCGGCGGUUGGGGAUGGACUCGCGGCUUAUCAGCUUGUUGGUGGGGUAGUGGCUUACCAAGGCUUUGACGGGUAGCCGGCCUGAGAGGGUGACCGGCCACAUUGGGACUAAGAUACGGCCCAGACUCCUACGGGAGGCAGCAGUGGGGAAUAUUGCACAAUGGGCGGAAGCCUGAUGCAGAAACGCCGCGUGCGGGAUGACGGCCUUCGGGUUGUAAACCGCUUUCGCCUGUGACGAAGCGUGAGUGACGGUAAUGGGUAAAGAAGCACCGGCUAACUACGUG